GACGAAUGCUGGCUGCGUGCUUAACACAUGCAAGUCGAACGGUGAAGGAGGGCUUGCCCUCCGGAUCAGUGGCGAACGGGUGAGUAACACGUGGGCAACCUGCCCCUCACUCUGGGAUAACGCCGGGAAACCGGCGCUAAUACCGGAUACGACCAGGCGCGACAUCUCGCCUGGUGGAAAGAAUUUCGGUGAGGGAUGGGCCCGCGGCCUAUCAGCUUGUUGGUGGGGUAACGGCCCACCAAGGCGACGACGGGUAGCCGGCCUGAGAGGGCGACCGGCCACACUGGGACUGAGACACGGCCCAGACUCCUACGGGAGGCAGCAGUGGGGAAUAUUGCGCAAUGGGCGAAAGCCUGACGCAGCGACGCAGCGUGAGGGACGAAGGCCUUCGGGUUGUAAACCUCUUUCAGCGGGGACGAAGCGAAAGUGACGGUACCCGCAGAAGAAGCACCGGCUAACUACGUGCCAGCAGCCGCCGCAGUAA
rnacentral:rRNA from 1 species